UGGGGAAUAUUGCACAAUGGGCGCAAGCCUGAUGCAGCCAUGCCGCGUGUAUGAAGAAGGCCUUCGGGUUGUAAAGUACUUUCAGCGGGGAGGAAGGGAGUAAAGUUAAUACCUUUGCUCAUUGACGUUACCCGCAGAAGAAGCACCGGCUAACUCCGUGCCAGCAGCCGCGGUAAUACGGAGGGUGCAAGCGUUAAUCGGAAUUACUGGGCGUAAAGCGCACGCAGGCGGUUUGUUAAGUCAGAUGUGAAAUCCCCGGGCUCAACCUGGGAACUGCAUCUGAUACUGGCAAGCUUGAGUCUCGUAGAGGGGGGUAGAAUUCCAGGUGUAGCGGUGCAAUGCGUAGAGAUCUGGAGGAAUACCGGUGGCGAAGGCGGCCCCCUGGACGAAGACUGACGCUCAGGUGCGAAAGCGUGGGGAGCAAACAGG
rnacentral:rRNA from 1 species